GUUGUAGAGAUACAGCAGCCGCUUGCGGUCUGUAUACAGGUGCUGCAUGGCUGUCGUCAGCUCGUGCUGUGAAGUGUGGGUUAAGUCCCGCAACGAGCGCAACCCCUAUCAUCUGUUGCCAGCAUUUAAGGUGGGGACUCAGAUGAGACUGCCGGUGACAAACCGGAGGAAGUGGGGACGACGUCAAGUCAUCAUGGCCCUUAUGUCCUGGGCUACACACGUGCUACAAUGGCCGGUACAGAGUGAAGCGAAACCGCGAGGUGAAGCAAAACGCAGAAAGCCGGUCUCAGUACGGAUUGGAGUCUGAAACUCGACUUCAUGAAGUUGGAAUCGCUAGUAAUCGCGCAUCAGCAUGGCGCGGUGAAUACGUUCCCGGGCCUU
rnacentral:rRNA from 1 species